CAGUAGCCGCGGAAUACGAAGGGUGCAAGCGUUAAUCGGAAUUACUGGGCGUAAAGCGUGCGCAGGCGGUUUGUUAAGACAGAUGUGAAAUCCCCGGGCUCAACCUGGGAACUGCAUUUGUGACUGGCAAGCUAGAGUGUGGCAGAGGGGGGUGGAAUUCCGCGUGUAGCAGUGAAAUGCGUAGAUAUACGGAGGAACACCGAUGGCGAAGGCAGCCCCCUGGGCCAACACUGACGCUCAUGCACGAAAGCGUGGGGAGCAAACAGGAUUAGAUACCCCGGUAGUCCCUGUCUCUUAUACA
rnacentral:rRNA from 1 species